CAGCAACAAAAGGCUGCUACCGUCGGCCGAAAAUACUGGCGACGGCUCCACGUCCACCCAAGACGACUCCAGAGCUCGCUCAAUAUGAACCUAGACAGUUAAAAAUGAGAAUUGAAUUUAAAAAAAUAAGAUAAGAGAUUCAUAAUUAGGACUCCCCCUCCAAAUUUCGUAGAGGUCAUUUGAUCCGAGGCGAAAAACAGAGCAACGUGAAUUUUUAUGUAAGAAGCGCUAUAGCAGCAACAUGAAAUUCUUAACGAUAUUCUUUGUUAUUGUCACUUUCUUGGCUGCCUCCACGUUUUCAAGAACCGAUCCAUGCGCUCGCAAGUGCGGCUGUAUUUUUCUAAAGGAGCCAAAAGUGCCUUUCUGCACGGAAGACGAGGUCACAAAAAACCAUUAUACGUUUGAAUCUCCGUGCUGGGUGCAGUGCAUUAACUGCAAAAACAAAACUAAGUACAGCUUUCUUCACGAUGGCGCAUGCUAACCGGCGGUCAUGUGAACUGUUCCAAAACUGGCUUUAUUUCUGCCGUCUGUAACUACCGUUUUUCAAAUUAAAUUUCUCUAUUUUUUUUUGUUCUAACGCUUCUUUCAUCAAAAGAGGCAAAAAUUAAUCUUUUCUCCUUAUCUGUACAUUUUAAAAAUUAACCAACCAUUUGUAAUUUGCAUAUUGCAUGAAUUUUUUAGCUUUGUUUAAUAAAAAA